rnacentral:misc_RNA from 1 species
GAUGAAGAACGUAGCGAAAUGCGAUAAGUAGUGUGAAUUGCAGAAUUCAGUGAAUCAUCGAAUCUUUGAACGCACAUUGCGCCCUUUGGUAUUCCAAAGGGCAUGCCUGUUCGAGCGUCAUUUGUACCCUCAAGCUUUGCUUGGUGUUGGGCGUCUUGUCUCUAGCUUUGCUGGAGACUCGCCUUAAAGUAAUUGGCAGCCGGCCUACUGGUUUCGGAGCGCAGCACAAGUCGCACUCUCUAUCAGCAAAGGUCUAGCAUCCAUUAAGCCUUUUUUUCAACUUUUGACCUCGGAUUAGGUAGGGAUACCCGCUGAACUUAAGCAUAUCAAUAAGCGGAGGA